GACGAACGCUGGCGGCGUGCUUAACACAUGCAAGUCGAGCGGUAAGGCCCUUUCGGGGGUACACGAGCGGCGAACGGGUGAGUAACACGUGGGUGACCUGCCCUCAGCUCUGGGAUAAGCCCGGGAAACUGGGUCUAAUACCGGAUAUGACUUCAUGACGCAUGUUGUGGAGUGGAAGCCUUGUGCGGCUGAGGAUGGGCCCGCGGCCUAUCAGCUUGUUGGUGGGGUGAUGGCCUACCAAGGCGACGACGGGUAGCCGGCCUGAGAGGGCGACCGGCCACACUGGGACUGAGAUACGGCCCAGACUCCUACGGGAGGCAGCAGUGGGGAAUCUUGCGCAAUGGGCGAAAGCCUGACGCAGCGACGCCGCGUGAGGGAUGACGGCCUC
rnacentral:rRNA from 1 species